UACGUAGGGGGCAAGCGUUGUCCGGAAUUAUUGGGCGUAAAGCGCGCGCAGGCGGCUUCUUAAGUCUGAUGUGAAAGCCCGUGGCUCAACCACGGAGGGUCAUUGGAAACUGGGAAGCUUGAGUGCAGAAGAGGAGAGUGGAAUUCCACGUGUAGCGGUGAAAUGCGUAGAUAUGUGGAGGAACACCAGUGGCGAAAGCGGCUCUCUGGUCUGUAACUGACGCUGAGGCGCGAAAGCGUGGGGAGCAAACAGG
rnacentral:rRNA from 1 species